ACUAAAGACAAGCCAGAGACGGAAGGAAACAGGCUCGGAAUGGCGGAGACUAAAUUGUUUUUUUUUUUGCAGCAAAAGCCGGAGGAAAUCACAGUAAUAAACUGUGGCUUAAUCGCGUUAUCGCAUGAACACUGAAAUUGAACAGGAUACUCAUGCUACAAGUCGUUGUAAACAUCCUACACUCAGCUGUAAUUUGCAAACUAGGCUGGGAGGAGGGUGUUUGCUGUGACUGACUGGAGAACCUCUGUGAUGUUGGAUUGAAAUUAAUGCUUAAAGGGAAGAAAGCUGAGGAUCACCCGGAGACUAUUGUACUGCACAUUUGUUUUGGCAUUCCCAAUACACAAGUUAUUGUGGAAAUGCCUUUCCCAGUUCAUAAAUGAGAACAUUGUAAUGGAUUUUUGCUUAUUCUGGAAAAAAUAAUUGUUUGCUUUUUCUUUUUCUCCUGGAACAUAAAAGGGGGAGAAAUGUAUCUUUUCAUUUUGUUUACAAAAUUGUAUGUACAUAAAUGCUCAUUUUCUAACCAUAAACCCAUUUAAUAUGUUCUGCUUGCUGAACUACAACAGUACAUAAUUUUUAUUUUUUUUUUUAGAUCACAUAAGACGGCUAUCAAAACCAUUAAUAUUUGUAAGUCUUUUGACCUUUUUUACUUUGAUGAUUGAUUUCUUUUUGAAUAUUUUGCAAUACCCCCUUAUUCCUUUCUUAAUUUCCUUUCUUUCCUCUAUGUUUUAUUGUAAUUGGUAUUUACUCUGUUUAUAUGAUGUUCAUUAUAUAAUAAUAAAAAAGAAGGCUGAG